GGCGGCGUGCCUAAUACAUGCAAGUCGAGCGAACCGACGGGAGCUUGCUCCCUUAGGUUAGCGGCGGACGGGUGAGUAACACGUGGGUAACCUGCCUGUAAGACUGGGAUAACUCCGGGAAACCGGGGCUAAUACCGGAUGCUUGAUUGAACCGCAUGGUUCAAUUAUAAAAGGUGGCUUUUAGCUACCACUUACAGAUGGACCCGCGGCGCAUUAGCUAGUUGGUGAGGUAACGGCUCACCAAGGCGACGAUGCGUAGCCGACCUGAGAGGGUGAUCGGCCACACUGGGACUGAGACACGGCCCAGACUCCUACGGGAGGCAGCAGUAGGGAAUCUUCCGCAAUGGACGAAAGUCUGACGGAGCAACGCCGCGUGAGUGAUGAAGGUUUUCGGAUCGUAAAACUCUGUUGUUAGGGAAGAACAAGUACCGUUCGAACAGGGCGGUGCCUUGACGGUACCUAACCAGAAAGCCACGGCUAACUACGUGCCAGCAGCCGCGGUAAUACGUAGGUGGCAAGCGUUGUCCGGAAUUAUUGGGCGUAAAGCGCGCGCAGGCGGUUUCUUAAGUCUGAUGUGAAAGCCCCCGGCUCAACCGGGGAGGGUCAUUGGAAACUGGGGAACUUGAGUGCAGAAGAGGAGAGUGGAAUUCCACGUGUAGCGGUGAAAUGCGUAGAGAUGUGGAGGAACACCAGUGGCGAAGGCGACUCUCUGGUCUGUAACUGACGCUGAGGCGCGAAAGCGUGGGGAGCGAACAGGAUUAGAUACCCUGGUAGUCCACGCCGUAAACGAUGAGUGCUAAGUGUUAGAGGGUUUCCGCCCUUUAGUGCUGCAGCAAACGCAUUAAGCACUCCGCCUGGGGAGUACGGUCGCAAGACUGAAACUCAAAGGAAUUGACGGGGGCCCGCACAAGCGGUGGAGCAUGUGGUUUAAUUCGAAGCAACGCGAAGAACCUUACCAGGUCUUGACAUCCUCUGACACCCCUAGAGAUAGGGCUUCCCCUUCGGGGGCAGAGUGACAGGUGGUGCAUGGUUGUCGUCAGCUCGUGUCGUGAGAUGUUGGGUUAAGUCCCGCAACGAGCGCAACCCUUGAUCUUAGUUGCCAGCAUUCAGUUGGGCACUCUAAGGUGACUGCCGGUGACAAACCGGAGGAAGGUGGGGAUGACGUCAAAUCAUCAUGCCCCUUAUGACCUGGGCUACACACGUGCUACAAUGGGCAGAACAAAGGGCAGCGAAGCCGCGAGGCUAAGCCAAUCCCACAAAUCUGUUCUCAGU
rnacentral:rRNA from 1 species